rnacentral:rRNA from 1 species
ACGAUGAAGCCUUUCGGGGUGGAUUAGUGGCGAACGGGUGAGUAACACGUGGGCAAUCUGCCCUGCACUCUGGGACAAGCCCUGGAAACGGGGUCUAAUACCGGAUAUGACCUUCGAGCGCAUGCUUGAAGGUGGAAAGCUCCGGCGGUGCAGGAUGAGCCCGCGGCCUAUCAGCUUGUUGGUGGGGUGAUGGCCUACCAAGGCGACGACGGGUAGCCGGCCUGAGAGGGCGACCGGCCACACUGGGACUGAGACACGGCCCAGACUCCUACGGGAGGCAGCAGUGGGGAAUAUUGCACAAUGGGCGAAAGCCUGAUGCAGCGACGCCGCGUGAGGGAUGACGGCCUUCGGGUUGUAAACCUCUUUCAGCAGGGAAGAAGCGAAAGUGACGGUACCUGCAGAAGAAGCGCCGGCUAACUACGUGCCAGCAGCCGCGGUAAUACGUAGGGCGCAAGCGUUGUCCGGAAUUAUUGGGCGUAAAGAGCUCGUAGGCGGCUUGUCACGUCGGAUGUGAAAGCCCGGGGCUUAACCCCGGGUCUGCAUUCGAUACGGGCAGGCUAGAGUUCGGUAGGGGAGAUCGGAAUUCCUGGUGUAGCGGUGAAAUGCGCAGAUAUCAGGAGGAACACCGGUGGCGAAGGCGGAUCUCUGGGCCGAUACUGACGCUGAGGAGCGAAAGCGUGGGGAGCGAACAGGAUUAGAUACCCUGGUAGUCCACGCCGUAAACGUUGGGAACUAGGUGUGGGCGACAUUCCACGUCGUCCGUGCCGCAGCUAACGCAUUAA